rnacentral:tRNA from 1 species
GGCCUCGUCGUUCAAUGGAGAGGAUCUCGGUCUACGAAAUCGAAGAUGGGCGUUCGACUCGCCCCGAGGCCACCA